rnacentral:rRNA from 1 species
AUGCCCGCAAAAGAUUUGGAGGAAAUUAAGAAGCAGAUCAAGGAGUUACUGGAUAAAGGCUAUAUUCGCCCAAGUUCGUCACCUUGGGGAUCACCAGUACUUCUAGUGGAGAAGAAAGAUGGAUCACUGAGGAUGGUUGUUGAUUACCGUGGAUUGAAUGAAGUGACCAUCAAAAACAAGUACCCACUGCCGAUGAUCAGUGAUUUGUUUGACCGCCUGCAAGGAGCUAAAGUAUUUUCCAAGAUCGAUCUACGAUCAGGAUACCAUCAGUUAAAGAUUCGAGAGCAGGAUAUACCUAAGACGGCUUUUACCACCAGAUAUGGAUUGUAUGAGUAUACCGUUAUGUCAUUUAGUCUGACUAACGCGCCUGCCUAUUUUAUGAACCUGAUGAACAAAGUGUUUAUGGAAUUUCUGGAUAAGUUCGUCGUGGUGUUCAUUGAUGAUAUUUUAAUCUUUUCCGAGGAUGAGGAAGAGCAUGAGGAGCAUUUGCGAUUGGUACUUGAGAAGCUCAGAGAACAUCAGUUAUAUGCCAAGUUCAGCAAAUGUGAAUUUUGGUUGAAGGAAGUUGGAUUCCUUGGACAUGUUUUCUGGAGAAGGAAUAGCAGUGGACCCUGCCAAGGUUGA